GACGAACGCUGGCGGCGUGCCUAACACAUGCAAGUCGAGCGGAGAUGUACUGAAGAUUUAUCGGAUGUACAUCUUAGCGGCGGACGGGUGAGUAACGCGUGGGCAACCUGCCUUUCACUGGGGGAUAACACAGGGAAACCUGUGCUAAUACCGCAUGACAUCACGUAGGGCAUCCUAUGUGAUCAAAGGAGAGAUCCGGUGGAAGAUGGGGCCCGCGUCCAAUUAGCUGGUUGGUGAGGUAAAGGCUCACCAAGGCGACGAUUGGUAGCCGAACUGAGAGGUUGAUCGGCCACAUUGGGACUGAGACACGGCCCAGACUCCUACGGGAGGCAGCAGUGGGGAAUAUUGCGCAAUGGGGGGAACCCUGACGCAGCAACGCCGCGUGAAGGAAGAAGGUCUUCGGAUUGUAAACUUCUUUGAUGAGGGACGAAUAAAGUGACGGUACCUCAAAACAAGCCACGGCUAACUACGUGCCAGCAGCCGCGGUAAACACGAG
rnacentral:rRNA from 1 species